ACUCCUACGGGAGGCAGCAGUGGGGAAGUAUUGGACAAUGGGCGAAAGCCUGAUCCAGCCAUGCCGCGUGUGUGAAGAAGGUCUUCGGAUUGUAAAGCACUUUAAGUUGGGAGGAAGGGCAGUUACCUAAUACGUGAUUGUUUUGACGUUACCGACAGAAUAAGCACCGGCUAACUCCGUGCCAGCAGCCGCGGUAAUACGGAGGGGUGCGAGCGUUAAUCGGAAUUACUGGGCGUAAAGCGCAUGCAGGCGGCCUGUUAAGUCAGAUGUGAAAGCCCGGGGGCUUAACCUCGGAAUUGCAUUUGAAACUGGCAGGCUAGAGUCUUGUAGAGGGGGUAGAAUUUCAGGUGUAGCGGUGAAAUGCGUAGAGAUCUGAAGGAAUACCAGUGGCGAAGGCGGCCCCCUGGACAAAGACUGACGCUCAGAUGCGAAAGCGUGGGGAGCAAACAGGAUUAGAUACCCUGGUAGGAUAGCG
rnacentral:rRNA from 1 species